UCUGUGUGACCACUCAGUGCUUUAUAAGAGCAGCCAGCCUGCUAGAGCAGGACUCAUUGAUGGUCAGUGGAAGAGCCUGGUGAGAUUCACAUGUGUGUUUGGGGAGCUGAGAGCUGUGCCUACUGCAGUGAGAAGUUAACAUCCUUGCAAAAAGACACUUGCCACACCCGAUUCGGAUUGCCUCUGUAGCACUGCAAGCAUGGGAGGCAAAAUUGGCAAGAAAUGGCUUGAAUCGACUACAGAGAAGAUGGAGGAAGACGUUAUAAAGGCUACUGUAAUGGUUCGAAGGAAAAUGAGGAAAACCAGUCUGCUGCAGAGAGAGUGGUGGCAAAAAGUGAGAAGCGUGGCCAAGAAUCCCAGGUCCCUGCUGGUGGCACAGAAGACAGAAAAGGAGGGGAAAAUCCUGCAGUGGGUGGAGAAGAGUCCUGCAAAGCUGAACCAGAAUUGGCAGCCAAGCAAGUACAGCUCUUGGUGGAAGCUGCCAGUGGAAAGGGCUCUAAAUCUUCAGAAGUCACUUUCCAGCUUCUGGAAAUAGCAACAAUUUGUAUCUUAACAGCAAUCAGGGAACCCAAUCCUGAAUGUUUCCUAGUCCUUGGAUGUUUAAGCACUCAAAGUGACUCCACUUCUGCACCUGUUUAGAGACUAACAGCAGUGAAAAGAUGCUUCCUUUGAAAUGGAGUUUAACAUAAGUGCUACUACUUGCUUUUAAAACCUUGGACUACCUUCACAAAGCAGUCUUGCUAGAAGUGAGGUGCCACUGUGAUCUGGCUUACCAAGUGAUGUUAGCUAAAACUGGCUGGUCUUGGCUUUAUCUGUGCUCCUGAGUUCCACUUCCCCAAGUGGGCAUGCAUUUUGGGGGUGGGUGUUGUGCCAGUGUCCAAGUUCUCUGCCUUCUACACUGGACUGAAAUAUAGCACAUCUCUUACCUGAAUGGUCCUGACUUGACUUCCCAAGACACUGUACCUUUAAUGUAGAUGAUGCAUUUUUUUUUUUU